GACUUCAUCCACUUCCUCCGCUGCCAUGGCCAUGAAACUACAGACUGCAGAUCUAAAACUGCACAGAAAAUCAACAUCAUCGUUCACAACUUGUCYUUCUGUUCGCUGAUUGACCCGCUUGAAAUUCUACUGGAGAAAUCCGCUUGAUUUGAACGAACAACGCCCAUCGUUUGUUCACUGCAGGGAGGUGAGAAUCCACAGGAAAUGCAUUCGAAGGCUGGUAGGGGAAGGAAGCAGUAGAAAGUCUGUGAAAGAUCGGAGUUAAAGUCAUAUGCUCUACAAUGAAGAAAAAUUCAGUGAAUUUCUGUGGACAUUUGGUAAAAAUAUUCUGGAUUUAAUUAGUGACAGACUCUCAUCUGUUCUUUUUUUUUUUUUGCCUCAAAGGCAACUUCCUUCACAGAUUUUAUUGUAGUCACAUGAGAGGAGGCUACUUACAGCCUAGUGCUGCAGUCAUAAGUUUAAGAUAUAUUUUAAGAUCUGCACCAUUUUAUUUUACUGGGAAACAAACAUAAAMAUUUGCCUCAGUCAUUCUUUUGYUGCAUCGUACUUCUAAAGCAUUAAGGUUAUUUUCCACAUUGGUUCAGAUUAAAAAACCCACUUCAUUAAAUAGUCACAAGCAAGCGUGUGGGUGGGUUCCUCUUCCUUUUUGGUUGCUUCCACAGUUAGGAGUCAGUAGUCUACGCUUAGAACUUUAGUAACCUCUAAGGCUGAUGGAGCUACAGAUACCAGCAGGGCCAUGAAGCCGUCAUGUUCUAAGGAGCAGCUGUUCCCUCUGUACCAGCAGGUGGGAGGAAAUAAAUUGAGGAACUUGAAGAAGACGCUGAGCUGCUUCGCAGACAGGAUGAGAAGAAGAACAGCUAGAAAGUGACUGAUACCCUCAAACCUUCUGGUCACACAUGUUGGAAAUCCAUCCAUCCUGGYGAUUCAUAUCUCAAAGAAAAUAACUUGUUAAAAAAUGGCGACAACUAGGAUAGGACUCUUCCUUUUCCUUGUACUUUGUAUCUGCAGAUCUAGAGCUGAUAAUUGCCCCAGCCUUCCUCUAAAGAGUCUCACUUGCUACAAUGACUUCAACAAUGUUAUAAACUGUGUGUGGAACAGCUCUCAUGUCCAAAAUCYUGCAGACGAUGUGUGCACAGUACAUGCAAAAAWASYUG